rnacentral:rRNA from 1 species
AAACUUUCAACAACGGAUCUCUUGGUUCUGGCAUCGAUGAAGAACGCAGCGAAAUGCGAUAAGUAAUGUGAAUUGCAGAAUUCAGUGAAUCAUCAAAUCUUUGAACGCCCAUUGCGCCCUCUGGUAUUCCGGAGGGCAUGCCUGUUCGAGCGUCAUUU